rnacentral:rRNA from 1 species
ACGCCUUAUACAUGCAAGUCGAACGGAGUAGCAAUACUUAGUGGCAGACGGGUGAGUAACAUGUGGGAACCUUCCCUUUGGUGAGGAAUAACACGAGGAAACUUGUGCUAAUACCUCAUAAGUCUUUACGGAGAAAGCUUUAUGCGCCAAUGGAUGGGCCCGCACUUGAUUAGUUUGUUGGUGGGGUAAUGGCCUACCAAGACUGUGAUCAAUAGCUGAUCUGAGAGGAUGAUCAGCCACAUUGGGACUGAGACACGGCCCAAACUUCUACGGGAGGCAGCAGUAGGGAAUAUUGCACAAUGGAGGAAACUCUGAUGCAGCGAUGCCGCGUGAGUGAAGAAGGCCCUUGGGUUGUAAAGCUCUUUCGUCGGGGAAGAAAAUGACUGUACCCGAAUAAGAAGGUCCGGCUAACUUCGUGCCAGCAGCCGCGGUAAUACGAAGGGACCUAGCGUAGUUCGGAAUUACUGGGCUUAAAGAGUUCGUAGGUUGUUAAAAAAGUUGGUGGUGAAAUCCCAGAGCUUAACUCUGGAACUGCCAUCAAAACUUUUUAGCUAGAGUUUGAUAGAGGAAAGCAGAAUUUCUAGUGUAGAGGUGAAAUUCGUAGAUAUUAGAAAGAAUACCAAUUGCGAAGGCAGCUUUCUGGAUCAUUACUGACACUGAGGAACGAAAGCAUGGGUAGCGAAGAGGAUUAGAUACCCUCGUAGUCCAUGCUGUAAACGAUGUGUGUUAGACGUUGGAAAUUUAUUUUCAGUGUCGCAGCGAAAGCAGUAAACACACCGCCUGGGGAGU